GUAGGUGAACCUGCGGAAGGAUCAUUAGUCGAUUGAUAUUGAUUUCACGCCUACUGAUGCGUUCAGCAUCAGCAACGAGCCAGCGAGUUGCGAGUUCACUCGUUCGAUGCGUCCAGCAUCGAUGAGUAAGAGCAGUAAGAUGCUUCCAUUAGAUGCGUCCAGCAUCUAUAGGGACAUGUAUGCACACUCACCACUCACACUCACCACUCACUCGGCACAAAUACUCAACAUUGACAAGCAGAUACAUUACAUGAGCACCUUGCUGCAAUGGAUCUCUCGGCUCUU
rnacentral:misc_RNA from 1 species